AUGGUUGUUCACGAUACUUUGUCGCAUGUCAAUGGAGUAAAGAUGAAGGAUAUUUGUGUUCCAAACUAUUUCCAGUCCAGUGAAGAUGAUGAAGAGGUGCAAGCAUUGGUCGAUGUUAUGUGCAUGCAUGCUAAUGUAUUGCACAAGAUGGGCGUAAGCCAAGAAAAUAAACAUUCACUGGCUCAGGACCAGAUCAGAAUUGUUUCAGGAUUUUACAUGCAUGCAACCAUGCAAGAAAUAAAGGUAAACAAACGUGCAAUGGAAACCGGCCUAGGAUGCUAUUCCGUUUGUGUUCUAGGAGGCGAGAUCCAUUCAGUGCAUGCAACCAAGAACUAUGGAUAUUUAAUUGGGGAUAUUAUAGAAGUUAAAGGAGGGAUUAAGGAACGAUUCAUGCUUUUGUUUCUACCACGCAAGGAGUACCAGGCAAUUACAAACAUGAUGCGCAACGUGUGGAGUUUUCUAUGCUUAAAAGAAGUAGGCUGGGGGCCACCGAAACAAGUCAAGAGAGAUAGCGCACCAUAA
rnacentral:rRNA from 1 species